AGGAUUCCCUAGUAACUGCGAGUGAACCGGGAAGAGCUCAAAUUUAAACUGGCGGCCUUCUGGACGUCCGAGUUGUAGUCUGGAGAAGUGUUAUCCGCGUCGGCGUGUACAAGUCUCCUGGAACGGAGCGUCAUAGAGGGUGAGAAUCCCGUCCAUGACACGGACCCGCCCGAUGCAUGUGAGGCACUCUCAAAGAGUCGAGUUGUUUGGGAAUGCAGCUCAAAAUGGGUGGUUCCAUCUUAAGCUAAAUAUUGGCGAGAGACCGAUAGCGAACAAGUACCGUGAGGGAAAGAUGAAAAGCACUGGAAAGAGAGGUUAAACAGUACGUGAAAUUGUUGAAAGGGAAACGCUUGAAGUCAGUCGCGUCCCGCGGAUCUCAGCCUGGUUUCGACCUGGUGUACUUUCCAUGUGGACGGGUCAACAUCAAUUGUCGGUGGACAAGGGCGAGGGGAAAUGUAGCGUUGCUUCGCGGCGACGUGUUAUAGCCCCUUGUCGUAUACGCUGGUUUGGGAUUGAGGACCCCAGCACGCCCUUGUGGCCGGGGGUUCGCCCCACGUAACGUGCUUAGGAUGUUGGCAUAAUGGCUUUAAGCGACCCGUCUUGAAACACGGACCAAGGAGUCUAACAUGCUUGCGAGUGUUCGGGUGGAACCUUGCGCGUAAUGAAAGUGAAAGUUGGGAACCUCCGCGAGGGGGUGCACCGACGCCCGGCCCUGACGUUCUCUUCGACGGUGCCGCGGUAGAGCACGUAUGUUGGGACCCGAAAGAUGGUGAACUAUGCCUGAAUGGCGAAGCCAGUGGAAACUCUGGUCCAGGCUCGUAGCGAUUCUGACGUGCAAUAUCG
rnacentral:rRNA from 1 species